GGUUUUGUAGUGUAAUGGAUAGCACUCGGGAUUUUGACGGGUUGUUGCAAACAACGCAACCUGAAAAUUUCCCGCAAUCUGGGUUCGAUCCCCAGCAAGACCU